UACGUAGGGGGCAAGCGUUGUCCGGAAUCAUUGGGCGUAAAGCGCGUGUAGGCGGCCCGGUAAGUCCGCCGUGAAAGUCCAGGGCUCAACCCUGGAAUGCCGGUGGAAACUGCCGGGCUGGAGUCCGGAAGAGGCGAGUGGAAUUCCUGGUGUAGCGGUGAAAUGCGCAGAUAUCAGGAGGAACGCCAAUGGCGAAGGCAGCUCGCUGGGACGGUACUGACGCUGAGACGCGAAAGCGUGGGGAGCAAACAGG
rnacentral:rRNA from 1 species